rnacentral:rRNA from 1 species
GACGUAGGGCGCGAGCGUUGUCCGGAUUUAUUGGGCGUAAAGAGCUCGUAGGCGGCUUGUCGCGUCGACCGUGAAAACUCGCAGCUCAACUGCGAGCCUGCGGUCGAUACGGGCAGGCUAGAGUUCGGUAGGGGAGACUGGAAUUCCUGGUGUAGCGGUGAAAUGCGCAGAUAUCAGGAGGAACGCCGAUGGCGAAGGCGGGUCUCUGGGCCGAUACUGACGCUGAGGAGCGAAAGCGUGGGGAGCGAACAGG